rnacentral:rRNA from 1 species
GACGAACGCUGGCGGCGUGCUUAACACAUGCAAGUCGAACGGUGAAGCACCUUCCUUUUGGUGGGUGUGGAUGAGUGGCGAACGGGUGAGUAACACGUGAGUAACCUGCCCCCUUCUUCUGGAUAACCGCAUGAAAGUGUGGCUAAUACGGGAUAUUCUGGGUCUGUCGCAUGGCGGGCCUGGGAAAGAUAUUGUUUCGGUGGGGGAUGGGCUCGCGGUCUAUCAGCUUGUUGGUGGGCUGAUGGCCUACCAAGGCGGUGACGGGUAGCCGGCCUGAGAGGGUGGACGGUCACACUGGGACUGAGACACGGCCCAGACUCCUACGGGAGGCAGCAGUGGGGAAUAUUGCACAAUGGGCGCAAGCCUGAUGCAGCGACGCCGCGUGAGGGAUGGAGGCCUGCGGGUUGUAAACCUCUUUCGCCAGUGAAGCAGGCCUGUCCCUUUUGUGGGUGGGUUGACGGUAGCUGGAUAAGAAGCGCCGGCUAACUACGUG